rnacentral:rRNA from 1 species
UACAGAGGGUGCAAGCGUUAAUCGGAAUUACUGGGCGUAAAGCGUGCGCAGGCGGCCUUCCAAGUCAGGGGUGAAAGCCCAGAGCUCAACUCUGGAAUUGCCUUUGAGACUGUGAGGCUUGAGUACGAGAGAGGUGAGUGGAAUUCCCAGUGUAGAGGUGAAAUUCGUAGAUAUUGGGGAAGAACACCGGUGGCGAAGGCGGCUCACUGGCUCGUAACUGACGCUCAUGCACGACAGCGUGGGGGAUCAAACAGG